UACGAAGGGUGCAAGCGUUACUCGGAAUUACUGGGCGUAAAGCGUGCGUAGGUGGUUCGUUAAGUCUGAUGUGAAAGCCCUGGGCUCAACCUGGGGAUGGCAUUGGAUACUGGCGACCUAGAGUGCGGUAGAGGGUAGCGGAAUUCCCGGUGUAGCAGUGAAAUGCGUAGAUAUCGGGAGGAACAUCCGUGGCGAAGGCGGCUACCUGGACCAGCACUGACACUGAGGCACGAAAGCGUGGGGAGCAAACAGG
rnacentral:rRNA from 1 species